CUUUUUUAAAUUUAAAAAAAAAAAAAAGAGAGAAUGAAAAGUGCCUGCCAAAAUAGUAAGUUCGAAAGGAAAUCCAAGUUAGGGUUCUGAGAAAAGAAAAUGAAAGCUUCAUUGAAAUUUCGGGAAGAGAAGCAGCCAGUGUUGAGGGCCAAAAUACCUCUAAGCAUUUUGGGCUUGCCAUUUCAAUCAGGCAUCGUCGCCGGCGAACCCAAGGAGCUCACUUUAAAUCUUUCUACGUUCUUUGAAUCUGGGCCGUCCAUCAAGAUCGCUUACCGUCCUACUGACACGUGGAACCCUUUCUCACUUAUCGUCAAGACUGGCACCGGCCCCUUCGGUUCUCCCAUCUCCACCUCUUUGCUUAUGAGUGCUGAGUUCAACCUUCUUGGCCGUGGAAACCCUAGCUUUAUGCUUCACCUCAAGCCUCAGUUCGGGAUUUCUCCAUCAAGAAGUCCCAGUCUUCCGUUUUCGAUAAAGUCGUGAAGAUGACGAAUGACGCCGUUGCGGAUGUCGAUUCGUCGGCUAGUGUCGAUUUCGCGGGUUUCUUCGCCGAGAAGGGGAAACUUGGGACUUUGAACUCGGGAGAUAUUGCGAGGAUUCUGUCCGGAAUGGAGGUAGCGGCGAGGACGGCUGUGCCAGUGAAGGGAAAGGCAAUGUUGAAAUUCCGAUGGGGAAUGAGGAUUCCAUCGGAGAUGAAGAGUGGCGUCGGCGGGGCUGGGAUUCCGUUUUUGGUGAUGGAUAAGAUCGGGAUCGAGCAGGUGGAAGGUGCUGAUUCGAUGCAGGCUUUAACCACAGCCAGCAAGGCGAGUCCAGGGGUAAGAACGAAUGUGGACAUUGCAGAGUCAAUUUUUAUGGUAAAGCGGCAGUUGGAAGCUCUGCAUUCUGAGAAUGCGUUACUGAAGAGAGCCGUGGAUGAUCUGAGACGAGAAAUCUCCAGCGGAAAUUUUGGGGAUUUGAAUUCUGUGAAAUACAGAGAAAUUGAAAGAAAUGGGAAAACGGAGAGAAGGAUGAGUGAGAAGAAUUCCAUGGAAGAGGAGCUGAAGAAGGCAUUGAAAGGAGCUUGAAGUUGUCGCAGAAAUUAAAAUGUAAGGAUUUGGUUUGGUUUCUAUGCCUUUUAUGUUUGGAUUAGUAAUUACUCCAAGUAGAAUUAAAAAGAAAGAAGAUUUUGAUUGUGAGUUUUGGAUAUUUGAACUAAGAUGAAACAAUCAAAUAGGCUGUGUUGAAUAAGCCUUGCAGGAAGCUCUAACAUGAUGUAUGUGAAAAAGGCAUAAGAUAUGGGGCCAAUGGGCAGUAUUGAUGAAAGAAAUAUAGGAGUUGUAAAGAUCUCCUGGUAGAUUGAAUAAACAUAUCUCAAUCUUCCAUUUCUGCUCACCAA